GUUAAAAAGCUCGUAGUUGGAUUUCUGUGAGAGUAUGAUGUGCCUAACGUGUUUAGAGCGCAGAAAACUCUUGCAUCCUUCUGUUGACCUCCACGUGGCAUUCGCUUGCCAGUGGUUGGCUCAGAGAAUUUACCUUGAGAAAAUUAGAGUGUUUCAGGCAGGCUUAGUCGGAAUACAUUAGCAUGGAAUAAUAGAAUAGGACUCCGGUCUCGUUGUUGGUUUGAGGGACUGUAGUAAUGAUUAAUAGGGAUAGUUGGGGGCAUUAGUAUUCGGUUGUCAGAGGUGAAAUUCUCAGAUUUAUUGAAGACUAACUUAUGCGAAAGCAUUUGCCAAGGAUGUUUUCAUUAAUCAAGAACGAAAGUUAGGGGAUCAAGUCGAUCCAGAUACCGUCCUAGUCUUAACCAUANCUAUGCCGACUCGGGAUUGGGGGCGUGUUAUAUCCGCCUUC
rnacentral:rRNA from 1 species